rnacentral:ncRNA from 15 species
GUUGACCUCGGAUCAGGUAGGGA